AUACGUAGGGUGCAAGCGUUAAUCGGAAUUACUGGGCGUAAAGCGUGCGCAGGCGGUUUUGUAAGACAGUGGUGAAAAUCCCGGGCUCAACCUGGGAACUGCCAUUGUGACUGCAAGGCUGGAGUGGGGCAGAGGGGGGUGGGAUUCCGCGUGUAGCAGUGGAAUGCGUAGAUAUGCGGAGGAACACCGAUGGCGAAGGCAAUCCCCUGGGCCUGCACUGACGCUCAUGCACGAAAGCGUGGGGAGCAAACAGGAUUAGAUACCCUGGUAGUCCACGCCCUAAACGAUGUCAACUGGUUGUUGGGGAUUUAUUUUCUCAGUAACGAAGCUAACGCGUGAAGUUGACCGCCUGGGGAGUACGGCCGCAAGGUUAAAACUCAAAUGAAUUGACGGGG
rnacentral:rRNA from 1 species